AACAUUAAAAAAGAAAAAUUAUAUGUAGUUGUUUCUGUUUAUACCGUAAUGUUAUUAAUUGAAAAACAAACACAUCAAUGAUACUCAUAGUGAGAAAAUAGGAUCAUAAUGCAUUAAAAAAUAAUGGGAGAUACCCAAUAACAUUAAAGCAUUGAGUGAUCCAAACAUUUUGGUUAUGUACCCAAGACAUACUUGCAAAAAUGUAAAAAAGAAAGAAAAAAAUUAUAAUUAAAAAUAAUAACAAUAUAAAUAAAUGAAAUGAGGAAAAAAACUCGGCGAUUUGGAUUAUGAAUGUAAAGAGAAGAUUUUUUUAAUAAUACGUCAUUAUAGACUCAAGGGGAAAUAAAAAUUCAUUAGGUGCAUAGCAUCAGUAGGUGACUUGACAUAAUGCUAAAUAUUGAAAAAGUAAUCCGUGGAAGGAAAAAUCAAUACUAGCAAAACCAAAAGAAAGAAAAAAGUGAUAAAUAAAGUAAAGAAAAUUGAAUAGCUUGAAGGAAAAUAUUCACAGGACAGUUUGAAUACGUAAGGCAGUCGCAGUAAGUUACCUUCCUCAUUCACCACACAGCAUUCGAGCUCAAAGCUGAUUUCGGAAUGCUCCGAUUUCAAUGGAAGGAUCCCCAAAGUGAUCCAGUGUUCGUCUUCUUCGUCGUGGCUAACCUCUACUUUGAAGCUCCAAACGUCGUUGACGUGGAGACCUGAAGGAAAUUCUAUAAAUAUCGGACUAACUGUCCCAGCAUCGUUGAUGAAAAGGAGUUCGUCGAAGUACUCUAGUUCAACGGAGUAUACCUUUGUGUACGUUGAAUUUUGGAAAUUACAGUCCAUAAUGUGUCAAUAAAUGAUGAAUGUAACUUUCAAGGCGUACAGCGCAACGUUUCGAGCGUAAUGACUGCUACCGACUGUGUGACUUAUACAUACACUUUGACCAUCUCCUCCACUAAAAUUUGACCAACUGCCGAAAAGGUCAAUUUUACCCCCACUUCUUAAAAAGGACCAAUCAUGAUGAUAAUGAUUUUCUCUCUCCAUUCUUAAGUUUUACUAAUUAAAAUCGAGAAAUUGCAUC